GAAAUGCGAUAAGUAAUGUGAAUUGCAGAAUUCAGUGAAUCAUCGAAUCUUUGAACGCACAUUGCGCCCACCAGUAUUCUGGCGGGCAUGCCUGUCCGAGCGUCAUUUCAACCAUCAAGCCCCCGGGCUUGUGUUGGGGACCUGCGGCUGCCCGCAGGCCCUGAAAACCAGUGGCGGGCUCGCUGUCACACCGAGCGUAGUAGCAAUCACCUCGCUCAGGGCGUGCUGCGGGUUCCGGCCGUUAAACAGCCUUACAAAACCCAAGGUUGACCUCGGAUCAGGUAGGAAUACCCGCUGAACUUAAGC
rnacentral:misc_RNA from 1 species